rnacentral:misc_RNA from 1 species
GUCGCGAGCUUGCGCGCCUCGUCCUGCACCCGGAGGUCUCCUCCGCGGAGGAGGACCAUCAGGAUUCCGCGAUCAGUUUACCGGCGUCCCUCAGUCCGUGCGGUCGCGUUCGAUAUUCGAGUGCGGUCCGCUGAAUCACGUGCAUCCUCGACGUAGGGAACAGGCGAUGUCGGCGUUAUCGGUCCUCGAGCGUGUCACUGCGGUGUCAUCGUCGUUUCCUCGAGAUGUGUGAAAGCCCUCCAGGAUUACCGCUGCAGCUGGAUCCAUGAUUGUGGCAAAAUGGUGGAUCGGCAAAAGGCACUUCUGAUGGUGUUAUUGGCGCUCCUGAUUUAUCCAAACGAUAUCUUUGGAGGCGCUUUUCAACCCGAAUUCUCCGGCCCUAUCACCAAUCUAACCGUACCACUCGGGAGGGACGCCACUUUCACGUGUCUGGUAAAACAUCUAGGAGGUUACAGGGUCGGUUGGGUAAAGGCGGACACGAAGGCGAUUCAGGCGAUACACGAUCACGUGAUCACGCACAACAAGAGGGUAACCGUGUCUCACAGCGAUCACAGUAUGUGGAACCUUCACAUCAAGGGCGUCCAGAAAGAGGACGGCGGUCUUUAUAUGUGUCAGAUCAAUACGGAUCCCAUGAAGAGUCAGACAGGUAUGCUGUCGAUUGUCGUGCCGCCUGAUUUCGAUCCUGACGCUACAUCGAGCGACAUGAUGGUAGGCGAGGGCGGCCAGGUGAAGUUAACGUGCCGGGCGAGAGGCGUACCCGAGCCGCGCGUAUCCUGGCGCCGAGAAGACGGCAGGAACAUUAUAAUUCGGGAGCCAUUUGCAGGAAGCGCCCCGAACCAGAAGUCUCACGUGUCUUCUGUGACCGAGUUUUUGGGCGAGGAGCUGAAACUGACGAAGAUUUCGAGGAACGAGAUGGGGGUUUAUCUGUGCAUCGCCAGCAAUGGGGUUCCGCCCGCGGUCAGCAAACGUAUUUAUAUCAACGUUCAUUUUCCGCCGGUGAUUCACGUACCCAAUCAGCUGGUCGGUGCGCCCUUGGGGACGGACGUGGUCUUAGAAUGUUUCGUCGAGGCGUCCCCGAUGUCGAUUAACUAUUGGGUCAAGGAUCCGAAGGGUGCGAUGAUAAUAACUAGCGUCAGGUACGACGUGCAAGCGGUGCCGAAGUCGCCGUUCGAGGUCCGGAUGAUCCUCACCAUCCGGAAUCUGCAGAAACACGACGUGGGAACGUACAAGUGCGCGGCCAAAAAUUCCCUCGGCGAGGUCGAGAGCAAUAUUCGAUUAUACGAAAUCUCCGGACCGACGAAGACGCAGACGUGGCCGCCCUUCUACGACGAGGAGGACGAAGUGGUAUACGGCUCGGCGGAGGUGGACAAGGCGGACAACAGGCCGCCGACAGACAACACGGUUUACGGCCGCGUGGGUCCACUGGUCACACCGUCCUCGGCGAUCCGCAUCGGCAAGAAACGACCCAUGAUCAACGCCAAUUCGGCCGCCGAUGCUCAUCGACGAUGGCUGCCCGUCGUCCUGUCACCCCUGGUAUCGCUGACGAUCGUCUGUCGCAGAUGGUGGUGGUGGUGAUGAUGGUGAUGGUGAUGAGGAACGGGAAAGAGCCGAGGAAUUUCCAAGGAUCGGGUCGAGGCACACGUCGUUGGUGCUCACGUUCGCACGUCGGUCUUAUCGUGGCGCGAUUUCGGCGACAAACGUAAUCCACUUUCGAAGAAGUGGCGCGAUCAACGUUGCAGGCUCACGAAGUUGUUUCUAUUGCAGACCCGUUGCAGCGAGUUUUGCGAGGAGAAAUAUGUCCGCAACGCGCUUUAUCAUUGGCUGCGCGAUCGGAUUUUCAAGGGAGAUUCGAUGCCAAAGCAAACUACUCUGAUCCUAUCUGAUCAGUGAGAUAAAAUCGCACGGAGUGAAUCAUACGUUACGUUGCAAAUUUCAUGUCCGGUAGCCGGCUUCGCGUGAAACAAAAGCUUUAAUCCUCAUUGGCUAUUCAGCAGCUUGCUCGGCUCUACGCAGCAAAAACAACUUCGAAUGGGCUUAAAUCACCGCUGCUGCCGCCGACGUAUCGUCUUCCCUGAGUGGCUUAUUCGUAAUUCAUAGACUUAAUCAAUGGAUCGGAAGCUCGCGAAAGGGAUGAACCACGUGGGUCUGAAGACAAGGAUUUACAUCGCGGGACUUAUGUAUCUUGAUCGUUGUACUUGGUGAUUGGAUCGAAGAAUCGAUCGAUUGAGAAAUAAUCGGAAGUUAUCGAUUGACGCGACGGAAUCGGAAUAUCCGGGAGACGAAUGUACAGUUGGAAUUGAGAAUCCUGUGAGCAAAGUGAGAACGGCAAGCGCAAACCCAAAGAAGAGGACUCGAAGACUGAAAGAAAAUGAUCGAGGAGGGCUCAUUGAUGCCGCGGCACAAUGGACGGAGUUCACUUUCUUCGACGAGCCUCGUUAAUCAGCAUCGCGAUUACCGAUUAUCGAUUUUAUAAAGAAAAGAGAAAAGUGCUGCAAUCUUUUAUGUAUCACCUAUUAAUAUGUCUAAUAGUUGUCAUAAUGACAAGUAAUGAGGUACGAAAUAAUAUUAUACAAUUAUACAAUCAAUAUGUCCAAUUAGCUUCGCCG